rnacentral:rRNA from 1 species
AGUGAACGCUGGCGGUAGGCCUAACACAUGCAAGUCGAACGGCAGCACAGUAAGAGCUUGCUCUUACGGGUGGCGAGUGGCGGACGGGUGAGGAAUACAUCGGAAUCUACUUUUUCGUGGGGGAUAACGUAGGGAAACUUACGCUAAUACCGCAUACGACCUACGGGUGAAAGCAGGGGAUCUUCGGACCUUGCGCGAUUGAAUGAGCCGAUGUCGGAUUAGCUAGUUGGCGGGGUAAAGGCCCACCAAGGCGACGAUCCGUAGCUGGUCUGGGAGGAUGAUCAGCCACACUGGAACUGAGACACGGUCCAGACUCCUACGGGAGGCAGCAGUGGGGAAUAUUGGACAAUGGGCGCAAGCCUGAUCCAGCCAUACCGCGUGGGUGAAGAAGGCCUCCGGGUUGUAAAGCCCUUUUGUUGGGAAAGAAAAGCAGCAGGUUAAUACCCCGCUGUUCUGACGGUACCCAAAGAAUAAGCACCGGCUAACUUCGUG